AGAGUUUGAUCCUGGCUCAGGAUGAACGCUAGCGGGAGGCUUAACACAUGCAAGUCGAGGGGCAGCACGAGGUAGCAAUACUUUGGUGGCGACCGGCAGACGGGUGAGUAACGCGUAUGUAACCUGCCCUGUACAGGGGGAUAACCCGGAGAAAUUCGGACUAAUAUCCCAUGGUAAUAUUGGAAGGCAUCUUUUAAUAUUUAAAGUUCCGGCGGUACAGGAGGGGCAUGCGUAACAUUAGCUGGUUGGUAAGGUAACGGCUUACCAAGGCGAUGAUGUUUAGGGGUCCUGAGAGGGUGAUCCCCCACACUGGUACUGAGACACGGACCAGACUCCUACGGGAGGCAGCAGUGAGGAAUAUUGGUCAAUGGGCGCAAGCCUGAACCAGCCAUCCCGCGUGCAGGAAGACGGCCCUAUGGGUUGUAAACUGCUUUUCCAGGGAGAGAAACUUACGUACGCGUUACGUAACUGACGGUACCCUGGGAAUAAGCAUCGGCUAACUCCGUGCCAGCAGCCGCGGUAAUACGGAGGAUGCAAGCGUUAUCCGGAUUCAUUGGGUUUAAAGGGUGCGUAGGCGGACUAUUAAGUCAGUGGUGAAAUCCUGCAGCUCAACUGUAGAACUGCCGUUGAUACUGAUAGUCUUGAGUUUGGUUAAGGUAGGCGGAAUGUGUAAUGUAGCGGUGAAAUGCUUAGAUAUUACACAGAACACCGAUUGCGUAGGCAGCUUACUGAGCCGACACUGACGCUGAGGCACGAAAGCGUGGGGAUCGAACAGGAUUAGAUACCCUGGUAGUCCACGCCGUAAACGAUGAUUACUCGCUGUUGGCGAUACACUGUCAGCGGCUAAGCAAAAGCAAUAAGUAAUCCACCUGGGGAGUACGGCCGCAAGGCUGAAACUCAAAGGAAUUGACGGGGGCUCGCACAAGCAGUGGAGCAUGUGGUUUAAUUCGAUGCAACGCGAAGAACCUUACCUGGGCUUGAACUGCAGGCGUAGUCGCUUGAAAGGGCGGCGAACUCCUUCGGGAAGACCUGUAGAGGUGCUGCAUGGCUGUCGUCAGCUCGUGUCGUGAGAUGUUGG
rnacentral:rRNA from 1 species